rnacentral:rRNA from 1 species
AACGCGAAGAACCUUACCAAGGCUUGACAUCCCCUUGACCGGUGUAGAGAUACACCUUCUCUUCGGAGCAAGGGAGACAGGUGGUGCAUGGUUGUCGUCAGCUCGUGUCGUGAGAUGUUGGGUUAAGUCCCGCAACGAGCGCAACCCUUACCUUUAGUAGCCAGCAGGUUAAGCUGGGCACUCUAGAGGGACUGCCGUGGAUAACACGGAGGAAGGUGGGGAUGACGUCAAAUCAUCAUGCCCCUUAUGUCUUGGGCUACACACGUGCUACAAUGGCUGAAACAAAGUGAAGCGAGAUGGUGACAUUAAGCAAAACACAAAAAAGCAGCCACAGUUCGGAUUGUAGUCUGCAACUCGACUACAUGAAGUUGGAAUCGCUAGUAAUCGCGAAUCAGAAUGUCGCGGUGAAUACGUUCCCGGGUCUUGUACACACCG